GACGAACGCUGGCGGCGUGCUUAACACAUGCAAGUCGAACGAGUGGCGAACGGGUGAGUAAUACGUGAGUAACUACCUCUUAGAGGGGGAUAACUAUUGGAAACGAUAGCUAAUACCGCAUACUAGUAGAUGGACCUGCGUUGUAUUAGCUAGUAGGUAGGGUAAUGGCCUACCUAGGCAACGAUACAUAGCCGACCUGAGAGGGGGAACGGCCACACUGGGAACGAGACACGGCCCAGACUCCUACGGGAGGCAGCAGUAGGGAAUCUUCGGCAAUGGGGGGAACCCGGACCGAGCAACGCCGCGUGAGUGAAGAAGGGUUUCGGAGCGUAAAGCUCUGUUGUUAAGGAAGCGGUACUUAACCAGAAAGGGACGGCUAACUACGUGCCAGCAGCCGCGGUAAUUC
rnacentral:rRNA from 1 species